UACGUAGGGGGCUAGCGUUGUCCGGAAUCAUUGGGCGUAAAGCGCGUGUAGGCGGUCCGGUAAGUCCGCUGUGAAAGUCGGGGGCUCAACCCUCGGAUGCCGGUGGAUACUGUCGAGCUUGAGUACGGAAGAGGCGAGUGGAAUUCCUGGUGUAGCGGUGAAAUGCGCAGAUAUCAGGAGGAACACCAAUUGCGAAGGCAGCUCGCUGGGACGUUACUGACGCUGAGACGCGAAAGCGUGGGGAGCAAACAGG
rnacentral:rRNA from 1 species